rnacentral:rRNA from 1 species
UGGGGAAUAUUGGACAAUGGGCGAAAGCCUAAUCCAGCCAUGCCGCGUGUGUGAAGAAGGUCUUCGGAUUGUAAAGCACUUUAAGUUGGGAGGAAGGGCAUUAACCUAAUACGUUAGUGUUUUGACGUUACCGACAGAAUAAGCACCGGCUAACUCUGUGCCAGCAGCCGCGGUAAUACAGAGGGUGCAAGCGUUAAUCGGAAUUACUGGGCGUAAAGCGCGCGUAGGUGGUUUGUUAAGUUGGAUGUGAAAGCCCCGGGCUCAACCUGGGAACUGCAUCCAAAACUGGCAAGCUAGAGUACGGUAGAGGGUGGUGGAAUUUCCUGUGUAGCGGUGAAAUGCGUAGAUAUAGGAAGGAACACCAGUGGCGAAGGCGACCACCUGGACUGAUACUGACACUGAGGUGCGAAAGCGUGGGGAGCAAACA